rnacentral:misc_RNA from 1 species
GAUGAAGAACGUAGCAAAAUGCGAUAAGUAAUGUGAAUUGCAGAAUUCAGUGAAUCAUCGAAUCUUUGAACGCACAUUGCGCCCGCUGGUAUUCCGGCGGGCAUGCCUGUUCGAGCGUCAUUUCAACCCUCAAGCCCCCGGGUUUGGUGUUGGGGAUCGGCUCUGCCCUUCUGGGCGGUGCCGCCCCCGAAAUACAUUGGCGGUCUCGCUGCAGCCUCCAUUGCGUAGUAGCUAACACCUCGCAACUGGAACGCGGCGCGGCCAUGCCGUAAAACCCCAACUUCUGAAUGUUGACCUCGGAUCAGGUAGGAAUACCUGCUGAACUUAAGCAUAUCAAUAAGCGGAGGA